rnacentral:tRNA from 2 species
GCCGGGGUGGCGGAAUAGGUAGACGCUGUGGACUUAAAAUCCAUUGGGCAUUUCGCUCGUGUCGGUUCGAGUCCGACCCUCGGCACCA